rnacentral:ncRNA from 1 species
UGCGCGGCUCUCCAUUUUCCUUGGCCCCAUGACACAAACAAGGAGGAAUACAGCUAUCCCUGUGGCUCGGGGUACGGCAGUGUGGAGACCUGUCGCAAGGCGGCGCGCAUUUUGCGGCCGCGAGGACGCAUUUAGCGGAGGCUAUGUGUUCGGAGCCGGAAUGUAUGGCA